rnacentral:rRNA from 2 species
UAGGGAAUCUUCGGCAAUGGGGGGAACCCUGACCGAGCAACGCCGCGUGAGUGAAGAAGGUUUUCGGAUCGUAAAGCUCUGUUGUUAAGGAAGAACGAGUGUGAGAAUGGAAAGUUCAUGCUGUGACGGUACUUAACCAGAAAGGGACGGCUAACUACGUGCCAGCAGCCGCGGUAAUACGUAGGGGGCUAGCGUUGUCCGGAAUCACUGGGCGUAAAGGGUUCGCAGGCGGAAAUGCAAGUCAGGUGUAAAAGGCAGUAGCUUAACUACUGUAAGCAUUUGAAACUGCAUAUCUUGAGAAGAGUAGAGGUAAGUGGAAUUUUUAGUGUAGCGGUGAAAUGCGUAGAUAUUAAAAAGAAUACCGGUGGCGAAGGCGACUUACUGGGCUCAUUCUGACGCUGAGGAACGAAAGCGUGGGUAGCAAACAGG